rnacentral:rRNA from 1 species
UACGUAGGUGGCAAGCGUUGUCCGGAUUUAUUGGGUUUAAAGGGUGCGUAGGCGGCCCCGUAAGUCAGUGCUGAAAUAUCCCGGCUUAACCGGGAGGGUGGCAUUGAUACUGCGAGGCUUGAGUAAAGUUGAGGUAGGCGGAAUUGACGGUGUAGCGGUGAAAUGCUUAGAUAUCGUCAAGAACACCGAUAGUGUAGACAGCUUACUAAGCUUUAACUGACGCUGAGGCACGAAAGCGUGGGGAGCAAACAGG